AUGCUAGGGCAGGUGCCAUGGGCAAGGCUGUCUCCUUCUGGCCCUGCCGUCCUUCUGCUGGCACUCUGUACUGGCGUGACCACUCAGGACAUCUGCAGCUCUCCAGGAUUUCGGGAGCAUGGAGGUAACAACCAGGCUCCAGUCCUGUACCUCAAUGCUUCCAGUGCCCAGGAGGGGGAAAUAGUGCUGCUUCAAUGUACCCUUGAUGAGCAGUUUCCUCCUACACGAGUUGUCUUCUGCAAGAAUGGGCUGGAGGAGUUCAGCCUGAAAGCCCAGCAGGGCAGGCUCAUCUACACUCUGGUCCUGAACAUCACCUCCAGAAGUGCUGGGACGUACACGUGUGGGUACCAGCAAAAGAACAAGGAAAACUGGGUGAGGAGCUCUGCUCUCAGUGCUCCCCGGACCUUGUCUGUGGCAGGCAGCAGCACGUUGACAGCCCACAGACGGAAGACACCAACUAUGGUGACAUCCAGUGUGAGUACUACCUCCUCCCUUGGGGGAAGCCACAUGCUCCUCUCCCCAUGAGAAUCUUCUGCAAGUCCUCAUGGAAUCCUACCACUUCAUUUCCCACUGGGAAUAACAAAAUCCCUGCUCAUUCAUCAAGGCCAGGUUUCUCUCCAGC
rnacentral:lncRNA from 1 species